UCUUGCAGAAAAGUGUCACAGGGAUUAGAUUGAAAAUGGAAUGAGGAUAAAAGCAUGGUAGAAACACAUACAUAGGGCAAGCAGGGCCAAGGAAUCUGUUACAGUGAUUCUUCUCUUACUCCUUUUCCCUUUCCUCCCUCAAGAACACCUGCCUCCCAAACUUCUGCAUUCAGUGAGAAAAUUCCAUUCCCCCUGCAUUUAAAAAUUGACAUUCCAAAUAGGUUAUUUCCAUGUACUAUUAUUCUGGAAAAUAUCUUCUUGGUAAACAAUUAUAAUCUCAGAAAAAAGGGAGUCAUGUAAAUAAAUUGAUUUACCCACACAACAGAUCAAACUGCAACAGAAAAAAAAACUGUCACAGAAACACCCUGAACCUUAUCCCAACUUAAGCAAUGCUCACUACAACAGUCGAUCUCUAGCCCUUGGAAUACUGCCAUUAACUUCUUACAGAGUUACAGCAGGAGUGAGCCUAGGCAAUUACUUUUUACUUGAAGGCACAGAGUAAAAAAAUGAAAAGCAAG